UACGGGGGGGGCAAGCGUUGUUCGGAAUUACUGGGCGUAAAGGGCUCGUAGGUGGCCAACUAAGUCAGACGUGAAAUCCCUCAGCUUAACUGGGGAACUGCGUCUGAUACUGGAUGGCUUGAGUUUGGGAGAGGGAUGCGGAAUUCCAGGUGUAGCGGUGAAAUGCGUAGAUAUCGGGAGGAACACCGGUGGCGAAGGCGGUUCUCUGGGCCUUACCUGACGCUGAGGAGCGAAAGCGUGGGGAGCGAACAGG
rnacentral:rRNA from 1 species